rnacentral:rRNA from 1 species
GGGAUUAGGGUCCGACUCCGGAGAGGCAGCCUGAGAGACGGCUACCAGACCUAAGGGUCGCAACAGGCGCGCAAAUUGCCCAAUCCUGAUACAGGGAGGCAGUGAAGGGGCAUAACAAUGCCGCGCCCUUUCGGGUGCGGCAAUUGGAAUGAGUCAGUCGCAAAAGACCGAACGAAGACCACGCGAGGGCAAGUCUGGUGCCAGCAGCCGCGGUAAUUCCAGCUCGCGUAGUGAAUGCUAAAAUUGCUGCAGUUAAAACGCUCGUAGUUGGAGGUGUGGUUAAAGAUGGCUUUCGUUAGUCAUGAGGGGCUCGCGCCGCGCGCGGUUCAUUCUGCGCGCGUGUGUGUGACUCUCGCCUUCAGGGGUUUUUCGCGGGUGUGUGCGCGCGUUCGCGCGCGCGCGCGGGCCGGCGGGAUAGUGUGCCCCCGUUUACUUUGAACAAAUUAGAGUGUUUCAAGCAGGCAUUCGAUGCUUCUGAAUACAUUAGCAUGGGAUAAUGAGAUAGGACUUUGGUCUCUGUUUCGUUGGCUCUCCAGGACCGAAGUGAUGAUCGAUAGGGACAGUUGGGGGUGCUAGAAUUUAACGGCCAGAGGUGAAAUUCUUGGAUUCGUUAAAGACUAACCAAUGCGAAAGCAUUCACCAAGGAUGUCUUCUUUAAUCAAGAACGAAAGUAGGGGGAUCGAAGUGGAUCAGAUACCCACGUAGUCUCUACCGUAAAUGAUACCGACCAGGGAUGGGGGGUGCGUUGUACUCUUUUCGCGGUGUCAAAAGCCGCGGGAAAGCGACCCCCUCCGCACCUUGUGAGAAAUCAAAAGUAAUCAGGUUCUGGGGGGAGUAUGUUUGCAAGAAUGAAACUUAAAGGAAUUGACGGAAGGGCACACCAGGAGUGGAGCCUGCGGCUUAAUUUGACCCAACACGGGGAAACUUACCAGGUCCAGACAUAGUGAGGAUUGACAGAUUGAAGAUCUUUCUUGAUUCUAUGGUUGGUGGUGCAUGGCCGUUCUUAGUUGGUGGAGUGAUUUGUCUGGUUUAUUCCGUUAACGAACGAGACCUCGACCUGCUAAAUAGGGGGGCUGACGAUUUGGGCGCGGUGUUCGCACGGCGCCCUUGGUUCGUCGGUUAAGCUGCCCCCUUCUUAGAGGGACAAUCGGUGUGUAGCCGGUGGAAAUUCGAGGCAAUAACAGGUCUGUGAUGCCCUUCGAUGUUCUGGGCCGCACGCGCGCUACACUGACGCGUUCAUCGAGCUCAAUCUAUUCGUAAGCCUAGCCCGAGAGGGCCGGGGAAUCUAUUGAAAGCGCGUCGUGAUGGGGAUAGACUGUUGCAAUUAUUGGUCUUCAACGAGGAAUUCCUAGUAAACGCGCGUCAUCAGCGCGCAUUGAUUACGUCCCUGCCCUUUGUACACACCGCCCGUCGCUACUACCGAUUGAAUGUCUUAGUGAGUUGGGGGGAGGGCGGAGCUGGUGGCGACACUGCUUUGCCGCGAACCUCUUCAAACUUGAACAUUUAGAGGAAGUAAAAGUCGUAACAAGGUU